rnacentral:rRNA from 1 species
CGACCGGCGCACGGGUGAGUAACACGUAUGCAACCUGGCCGUCACAGGUGGAUAACCGGAAGAAAUUCCGACUAAUACAGCAUAACACUCCUGAGGGACAUCCUUCGGGAGUCAAAGGAGGCAACUCCGGUGACGGAUGGGCAUGCGGCGCAUUAGGUAGUUGGUAGGGUAACGGCCUACCAAGCCGACGAUGCGUAGGGGUUCUGAGAGGAGGGUCCCCCACAUUGGAACUGAGACACGGUCCAAACUCCUACGGGAGGCAGCAG